GAUGAACGCUGGCGGCGUGCCUAAUACAUGCAAGUCGAGCGAACAGACGAGGAGCUUGCUCCUCUGACGUUAGCGGCGGACGGGUGAGUAACACGUGGAUAACCUACCUAUAAGACUGGGAUAACUUCGGGAAACCGGAGCUAAUACCGGAUAAUAUAUUGAACCGCAUGGUUCAAUAGUGAAAGACGGUUUUGCUGUCACUUAUAGAUGGAUCCGCGCCGCAUUAGCUAGUUGGUAAGGUAACGGCUUACCAAGGCAGCGAUGCGUAGCCGACCUGAGAGGGUGAUCGGCCACACUGGAACUGAGACACGGUCCAGACUCUUACGGGAGGCAGCAGUAGGGAAUCUUCCGCAAUGGGCGAAAGCCUGACGGAGCAACGCCGCGUGAGUGAUGAAGGUCUUCGGAUCGUAAAACUCUGUUAUUAGGGAAGAACAAAUGUGUAAGUAACUAUGCACGUCUUGACGGUACCUAAUCAGAAAGCCACGGCUAACUACGUG
rnacentral:rRNA from 1 species